GACAGAGGUUGCAAACGUUGUUCGGAAUUACUGGGCAUAAAGCGCACGUAGGCGGUUCGUUAUGUCGGAUGUGAAAGCCCUUGGCUUAACCGAGGAAGUGCAUCCGAAACUGGCGAGCUAGAGUACGAAAGAGGAUCGCGGAAUUCCCGGUGUAGAGGUGAAAUUCGUAGAUAUCGGGAGGAACACCGGUGGCGAAGGCGGCGAUCUGGGUCGAUACUGACGCUGAGGUGCGAAAGCGUGGGGAGCAAACAGG
rnacentral:rRNA from 1 species